ensembl:ncRNA C35A11.8 ncRNA
GAAUUUGAGGAGAAGCUUCGCCAUUUUGUUUCGAGUAAAAAAGACAAUGAACACGUUACGUGCGCAAUCCACCAUUGGUAGCGCCUCUCCUUCCUCCAGUUUUUGCCCCUUUUCAGCUUUUUUCCUGCAUUUUUCUCAUUUCUCCCCCAAUUAGGCUCUCUGCAUUUUAAGGUGUUAGAGAAUUAGCUAGGUCACUCUUUUGAUUUCUUGAAACAAAGAUGAAAUGUUCAGUGGUCAAUAGUCAAUAGGCACAUCACUUCAAUUCCCAAGGGACUUGAGCUUUCUUUCU